UACGGAGGAUGCGAGCGUUAUCCGGAUUUAUUGGGUUCAAAGGGUGCGUAGGCGGGAUGCCAAGUCAGCGGUAAAAAUGCGGUGCUCAACGCCGUCGAGCCGUUGAAACUGGCGUUCUUGGGUGGGCGAGAAGUAUGCGGAAUGCGUGGUGUAGCGGUGAAAUGCAUAGAUAUCACGCAGAACUCCGAUUGCGAAGGCAGCAUACCGGCGCCCUACUGACGCUGAGGCACGAAAGCGUGGGUAUCGAACAGG
rnacentral:rRNA from 1 species